rnacentral:rRNA from 1 species
GACGAACGCUGGCGGCGUGCUUAACACAUGCCAGUCGAACGGAAAGGCCCUGCUUUUGUGGGGUGCUCGAGUGGCGAACGGGUGAGUAACACGUGAGUAACCUGCCCUUGACUUUGGGAUAACUUCAGGAAACUGGGGCUAAUACCGGAUAGGAGCUCCUGCUGCAUGGUGGGGGUUGGAAAGUUUCGGCGGUUGGGGAUGGACUCGCGGCUUAUCAGCUUGUUGGUGGGGUAGUGGCUUACCAAGGCUUUGACGGGUAGCCGGCCUGAGAGGGUGACCGGCCACAUUGGGACUGAGAUACGGCCCAGACGCCUACGGGAGGCAGCAGUGGGGAAUAUUGCACAAUGGGCGGAAGCCUGAUGCAGCAACGCCGCGUGCGGGAUGACGGCCUUCGGGUUGUAAACCGCUUUCGCCUGUGACGAAGCGUGAGUGACGGUAAUGGGUAAAGAAGCACCGGCUAACUACGUG